GCCAUCUAUUCUGGUUGGUACUUAAUAAUUUUUCCAAACCUAAAUCCCAUACUGUUGCAGUUCUUAAACAAGCAACCUCAUUGUAGCAUACAAUACUCAUCAUCGGUGGAGAAAUCAUUGAAUAUUAUACCAAGAAAAUAAAGACGUCUGGAAAUCUUAUCUUAUGUGGGUAGAAAAAUUCUAAACCAAAUAGGUUAAAACAGGAACCUAAUCGGUAAAUAACUCUAAAAUUAGGCCAAAGCAGAAUCCAAUAAAAAGAAC